AUGAACGCUGGCGGCGUGCCUAAUACAUGCAAGUCGAGCGAACGGACGAGAAGCUUGCUUCUCUGAUGUUAGCGGCGGACGGGUGAGUAACACGUGGAUAACCUACCUAUAAGACUGGGAUAACUUCGGGAAACCGGAGCUAAUACCGGAUGAUAUUUUGAACCGCAUGGUUCAAAAGUGAAAGACGGUCUUGCUGUCACUUAUAGAUGGAUCCGCGCUGCAUUAGCUAGUUGGUAAGGUAACGGCUUACCAAGGCAACGAUGCAUAGCCGACCUGAGAGGGUGAUCGGCCACACUGGAACUGAGACACGGUCCAGACUCCUACGGGAGGCAGCAGUAGGGAAUCUUCCGCAAAGGGCGAAAGCCUGACGGAGCAACGCCGCGUGAGUGAUGAAGGUCUUCGGAUCGUAAAACUCUGUUAUUAGGGAAGAACAGAUGUGGAAGUAACUGUGCACAUCUUGACGGUACCUAAUCAGAAAGCCACGGCUAACUACGUG
rnacentral:rRNA from 1 species